rnacentral:rRNA from 1 species
ACUACGGGGGGCAGCAGUGAGGAAUAUUGGUCAAUGGGCGGAAGCCUGAACCAGCCAAGUAGCGUGCAGGAUGACGGCCCUACGGGUUGUAAACUGCUUUUAUACGGGAAUAACGCGCCUUACGUGUAGGGCUUUGCAUGUACCGUAUGAAUAAGGACCGGCUAAUUCCGUGCCAGCAGCCGCGGUAAUACGGAAGGUCCGGGCGUUAUCCGGAUUUAUUGGGUUUAAAGGGAGCGUAGGCCGCAUGUCAAGCGUGCUGUGAAAUGUCCGGGCUCAACCCGGGCCUUGCAGCGCGAACUGGCGUGCUUGAGUCCGCGGAAGGCAGGCGGAAUUCGUCGUGUAGCGGUGAAAUGCUUAGAUAUGACGAAGAACCCCGAUUGCGAAGGCAGCUUGCUGCAGCGGAACUGACGCUGAUGCUCGAAAGCGCGGGUAUCGAACAGGAUUAGAUACCCGGGUAGUA